rnacentral:misc_RNA from 1 species
ACCAAGAUGAAGUCGGUGCACCGCUUCUUCGAGGAAGGCGACAAGGUCAAGGUGACCCUGCGCUUCCGCGGUCGUGAGAUGGCUCACCAAGAUAUCGGUCUGCGCCUCCUGGAGCGCGUGAAGAGCGAGACGGCGGAGAUCGCCAAGGUCGAGAGCGAGCCGAUGCUCGAAGGACGCCAGAUGAUCAUGAUCCUGGCGCCGCGCUGAGCGGCACCGAUCCCGAGACGCGAGACCCGCGCCGCCUCCUCACCGGGGCGGCGUUGUCUUUUCAGCGCUUCCGAUUGGCGGCGCCGCGGA